AUCUACAGCCAUGCCACCCUGACCGUGCCCGAUCUCGUCUGAUUUCGGAAGCUAAGCAAGGUUGGUUGGGUCUGGUUAGUACUUGGAUGGGAGACCACCUAGGAAGACCAGGUGCUGUAGGUG
rnacentral:rRNA from 1 species